GCCAGUGUGCUGUAGUGGUUUGAACGUUGGACUGAGACUCUUGGAGAUCAGGGUUCAAUUCCCCGCUCAAGCA